rnacentral:tRNA from 1 species
UUCUCGAUAGCUUAAGCUUAAAGCAUGACACUGAAGAUGUUAAUAUGGUAAUUUACCUCAAGGUA